UACUCCCGCCGGCGACCGGCGCACGGGUGAGUAACACGUAUGAAACCUGCCCGUAGCAGGGGGAUAAGCGGAAGAAAUUCCGUCUAAUACCGCGUAACAACCCGAGGAGGCAUCUCUUCGGGUUUAAAGGAAGCGAUUCCGGCUACGGAUGGUCAUGCGUCGCAUUAGCUAGUUGGCGGGGUAACGGCCCACCAAGGCGACGAUGCGUAGGGGUUCUGAGAGGAAGGUCCCCCACACUGGUACUGAGACACGGACCAGACUCCUACGGGAGGCAGCAG
rnacentral:rRNA from 1 species